rnacentral:lncRNA from 1 species
AGAAUCGUAUGAAGGUUGUGAUUGAUCAAUAAAGGAUUCGUCACUCUUAGAUAGUAGGAGAUUAUGAUCUGCAUUUCAUUCAGUUAAGUCGAUGAUGAAAUCCUUGGCCAAAGUGUACUCCUAAGUCGAAAAGGAGUUUUCGAGUUAUAUUGACUUAAUAGUGGAAUGAAAGAUAUAAUCAAUGAUUAAGAUUAACACAAUUCCAUAUCUCGUAAUUGAUCGGAUCGUAUUGACGAAUGGAUAAUAGUUUCACGGUAAACGAACGAAUUUGGUUUUGUCAUACCACGUGACAUUUCCCGUCACAUGUAUUGCCCUGACACAUUGCUAGAUGUCAAUCAGGGACGGCGAGUGGGAAUUGACGAUAAAUUAAAAGGGUGUAUUAAUUUAUCAAUUUUGAUUAGAUCAAAAUAAUAUUUCACGACGUUAGGCAUCGUAGUCAGGAACCUAAUGGGUCGCACACAAAAGAGAAUUGGAAGAUUGCAAAUUGUCAAUUGGUUAAUUUAACAAUCGUUGGAUAAAUUAAUUAAUUGAAUUUGUUAUUUAUAAUCCCGAAUUAAUUAAAUAUUGGACCGGACCGGGCCGGGUCCGUUUGGGUUUAUAUAUAUACACAGCUAGGGUUUGAGGUCCAAAAAGGGUUUUCAUUAUUCUUGCUAGCACAAGAGAGAAACCCUAGCGGUUGCAAUCUAUUCUCUGUGUGAAUUUCAUUGGAGGCUGGACAAUUGGACAGCUGUGGGAGGCAGAUUCAAGCUACUGGAAAUGAAUAACGCAAAGGAGUUUGCAAAUUACAAGAAAAAGGUAUAUUUCUUAUCACAGUUUUUAUCUAAAUAUAAAGUUGAAUCCUGAAUGGGAAUUGAAACUUGUUAAAUUUUGCUAUGCAUGUUUAAGUAAAUUCCCUACAACGGUAUCAAAGCCAACUUUGUAUUUGUUAGGAACUGUUUAACGUGUUGAUUAAAUUAAAUGUUAGUUUAAUCAUGUUCAUUCUUAAAUCUAGCAAAUAUAGUUUUAAUUUUUUUUUUGGUCUUUUUGGAUCUGUUCUUGAAAAAAAAAUUUGGGGUCGUGAGGCGAGUGGUGCAUCCGCGCGCCGACAACAACCAGCAGCGGGAGCCGCUGCUUCUGCAGCACCUCCGCGCUGCUGGUUAUUUCUGACGCACUGGCGCCGCCCCAGAAAGAAAAGAAAUUUUUUUUUUUUUAGGUUUAGGGUUUUGGUGGAGACGGGGGCCUCUGUUGCAAUUAAUGUAAUUAGGGGCCCCUGGUUGCAAUUAUAAAAAAGGGGUCAAUUUGCAAAUUUUAAAUCAAGGACCUGUUCUGUAAAUUUCGAUUUUGGAAGGGUCUGCUGUUAAUUUCAAUUUGGGUAAAUUUUGUAAAAUUUCAAAAAGGAUUUUGAUUUUGAAUUUUGAAUUAUUUUAAAAAUGAGUUUUAAACUGGGUUUGACCCAUACCCUAAUUUUGACCCAGAAUUAAAAGUUUUAUUUAAAAAUUUGACGACUUUUAUAUUUUUGUUAAAAUUAGAUUUUAACUUAAAUAUUUAGUUUGACCCUUAAUUGAAUUUUUAUUAUGUUUGGGAAUUUUGUCCUAAAUUAAAAUAUUAAUUCAAUUUUAUUAGAGUUGGACUCUGAUAUUAAAUUAAUUAAAUUUUGUUUUGAAUUAGCACCACUUCCCUAUGCAAAUUAGAAUUUAGAGUAUGACUCUAAUUUAAUAAUUAAUUAAAAUUCGAUUUUGAUUAAAUUACUUCACCCAAUAGUUAAGGAUUUAGAGUUGGACUCUCAUUCGACAUUUAGUUAAAAUUAGAUUUUAAUUAAAUUGGCCCGUCAAUUAAAUUAAUUAAUUAAUUAAUAUGAUUAAUUAAUUGUUUAAUUAUCUCGAUCCCAAAAUUUUGAUUUAAUUUUGACGACUAUAAUUGCUAGAUUUAUGAGACAUUGCAUAUAAUAUUAGAUAUUAUACAUAGGAAACAUUUAUGCGAUGAAUGUUUGUGGAUGAUUAUGGACUCGACCAUAUGGAUGUGUUGAAUGGUUGAUUUACUUCUUAUUGUUGUUGUGGGCCUGCGAGCUCCUUAUUAAAUAUUGGACCUGCGAGUUCGUUGGUAUUAUUAUUUUUAUGGGCCUGCGAGUCCGAUUUCUUUUAGGCCUGCAUGCCAAUUAGUAUAGGAUACAUGUUGCAAGUAAAGCUAAUUGGAGGUGCAAGAAGAGGUGGACACCAUGGAGAUGGUGUAUUGGUAUUGGUCCAAUACUGUACCCCUUAGGAAUUGACCAACUAGUUUUCCUUUUGACUCGAGAAAACUAGAUAGAAUAAGUCCAUAAUCAUUCAUACUAUUAUUUAUAUAUAUGUGUAUUUAUUCGCAUAGUAGAUGUACGUUUAAAUAUAUAUAUAUAUAUAUAAUUGUUUGAUGAGACCAUUGCACAUUAAAUCCCUCGUUAAAAAUUAUUAAGUUAGUAUUAUUUGCCUUCCAUCAUUAUAGUGAAAAACGAGAAUCCUAAAUCGACCUUAGCUUGUUGAGUACACUCAAGGCUGGUCUAUUAGGGAUAUGUUUGACACUAUGAAAUAUUUGAUAUUUCUGAAUGAUGGGUUUAACUUAACUAAAAUUUAUCUUUUGUUGAGUACACUCAAGGAGAUAAGUUUUAUAGGCAUGUUAAGCUAACACAUAAGAUGUAUGAAGACAAAAGAGUUGUCGGUUUAAUGAUCUGGGAGUUGUAUGGAGAUACAAUUGAUAAUAAAAUCUACCCAAAUGUUUUAUUAGGAUUUUUUGAGUACACUCAAGAUCUCGAUACAACGAAUGUGAUCCCAACCCACUGUGAAUCAAGUGUGGAUUCAAAUAAUUUAUGUAUGAGGGUCAUGAAUUUAUUUUGGACAGUGGGAGUACGUUUAAUUAAAAUCCAUAUUGAAUUUAUGCACAUGCAUUAUAAUACAUAUUAAUUCUAUUUUUUUCGUCAUUUACAGUUUUUGAAUCAUGAGUAAUCAUAUAAAUUUGAGAGACAUACUGGAUGCCAACAAAUUGACCGGACCAAAUUUUCUCGAUUGGCACUGUAAUUUGAGAAUCGUUCUCAAACAUGAGAAAAUUGGAUAUGUCCUUGAGCAGUCCUUUCUAGUGGUGCCUACUGAAAAUUUCACUCAGGAAGAGGUGGCUGCUUACAAUAAACACAGUGAUGACGAUAACACAGCAGCAUGUGUGAUGCUUGCAGCUAUGUCUCCUGAGUUGCAGAAGCAACAUGAGGGUAUGGAUACUUACACUAUGAUUUUUCAUUUCAAGGAGUUGUAUGAUGAACAAUCUCGUGUGGAGAGGUAUGAGACCUCUAAACAACUGUACCGGUGCAAAAUGGCAGAAGGAUCAUCAGUCAGUGCUCACGUGCUGAAGAUGAUUGGUUUUAUUGAAAAACUGAGUUCACUGGGUUUUAUCAUGGAUCAUGAACUAAGUAUUGACUUGGUUCUACAAUCUCUGUCAGAUAGUUAUUCACAGUUCAUUAUGAAUUUUAACAUGAAUAAGAUCGAAUGCACACUUCCUGAGUUGCUUAAUAUGCUUAAAACUGUGGAGCCCAAUGUCAAGGCUAGCACUAGACAUGUCUUAGCUAUUCAUUCCUCCAAGGGAACUAAGAGGAAAAUCAAAGGAAGUUUUAAGGAAACAUCCAAAAAGGUUAAGGGCAAUAACAAAGCAGUCAAAGCAGGCAAGAACAAUACCAAAUCUGAUGACCCAUGUUAUCACUGUGGAGUGAAAGGUCAUUGGAAGAGGAACUGCAAGACUUACCUCGCAAGCUUGAAGGGAAAGAAGUCUUUUGAAACUUCUACUUCAGGUACUUUUGUUAUCGAGGUUAAUAUAUCUACUUCAUUAGCUUCUUGGCUAUUAGAUACCGGAUGUGGAUCUCAUAUUUGUAUAAAUAUGCAGGGACUAAAGAAAAGUAGAGCACUGCAGAAAAGAGAAGUUGACCUGCGCGUGGGAAAUGAAGCAAGAGUUGCUGCAUUAACUGUAGGGACAUACUUCUUACCACUGCAUUCAGGCUUAGUAUUAGAAUUAGAGAAUUGCUAUUUUGUUCCCGCCAUUACUAAAAAUAUUAUUUCUAUUUCGUGUUUAGACAUGAGUGGUUUUUCAAUUAAUGUUAAGAACAAUCGUUGUUCGUUUUAUAAAGAUGAGAUCUUUUAUGGUUGUGGUGUGUUGCAGAAUGGAAUUUAUAUUCUUGAUACUGAGUCGUCUAUUAUGAAUAUAGAAAAUAAAAGGCAUAAAAGUGAUAAUCUAAAUAAUACAUACCUUUGGCAUUGCAGAUUGGGUCAUAUUAACGACAAACGCAUUUCCAAGUUACAUAAAGAUAGAUACUUAGGAUCAACUGAUUUUGAAUCAUUUGACAGAUACGAGUCGUGCCUGUUAGGCAAAAUGACCAAAUUCCCUUUUACUGGAAAAGGAGAAAGAACCACAGAACUGCUGGGACUAAUACAUACUGAUGUAUGUGGACCCAUGUCAAUAACUGCCAGAGGUGGUUUCUCUUACUUCAUCACAUUCACCGAUGAUCAUUCUAGAUAUGGUUAUGUGUAUCUGAUGAAAUUCAAACAUGAAGCACUUGAAAAGUUCAAGGAACAUGCACUAAUUGCUGCGUGCUACACACUAAAUCGUGUCCCAUCUAAAUCGGUCGACAAAACUCCCUACGAGCUAUGGAGAGGAAAAAGACCAAACUUAUCUCAUAUGAAAGUUUGGGGCCGUGACGCUUAUGUAAAGCGAAAUGAAUCAGAUAAGUUUGAAGCUAAAUCUGACAAAUGUGUAUUUGUGGGAUAUCCAAAGGAGACAAUUGGAUAUCAAUUCUAUAAUCCCGUUGAGAAGAAACUGUUCAUCUCAAGGCAUGACAUAUUCCUAGAGAAAGAGUUUAUUCUAGGAGAGGGUAGUGGGAGCAAACUAGAACUUGAAGAAGUUCAAGAAUCCACAGACACUAUUGACCAAUUAGAUGAACUUGAGUCUGAUGCUACACAUGUUGGUGGACAGACUUUUGAUCAGGAUGUAGAGAAUCCUGAGGACACUCCAGCUUAGUGUAAAUCUAGCAAGAUCAUUCGACCUCCCAGAAGGUACGAAUUCACGAUUACUAAUCAAGUAUUAUUAAUCGAGGAUGAUGAACCUACAAAUUACGCAGAAGCAAAGUCAAGUAUUGAUUCGAAAUGGUGGCAAGAUGCCAUGGAAUUCGAAAUGGACUCAAUGUAUAAGAACAAGGUUUGGACCUUGGUCGACCUUCCAGGUGGGAUAAAACCGAUAAGUUGUAAAUGGGUUUACAAGAAAAAGGUCGAUGUGGAUGGAAACGUCCACACAUACAAAGUAAGGCUAGUAGCGAAGGGUUACACACAAAGACAAGGUAUUGACUUUGAUGAAACUUUUUCGCCUGUAGCCAUGCUGAAGUCCAUUCGAAUUUUGCUUGCAAUAGCUGCAUACCAUGAUUAUGAAAUAUGGCAAAUGGAUGUCAAAACUGUUUUCCUUAAUGGAAACCUGCAAGAGGAGGUGUACAUGACACAGCCUGGAGGUUUUGAAUCCAAAAGAGCCAACAAAAUAUGCAAGCUAAAUCGAUCCAUUUAUGGAUUAAAGCAAACAUCUAGGAGCUGGAAUCUUCGUUUUGAUGAAACAAUCAAAAUGUUUGAUUUUAUCAAAAAUGAAGAUGAACCGUGUGUUUAUAAGAAAACAAGUGGGAGGGCAGUCGUGUUCCUGAUAUUAUAUGUCGAUGACAUAUUAUUAAUGGGAAACGACAUCCCAAUGCUUCAAUAGGUAAAAUUAUGGUUGUCAAAGAAUUUCUCCAUGAAAGAUAUGGGAAAAUCAGCGUAUAUCUUGGGAAUCAAGAUCUAUAGAGAUAGAUCUAAAAUAUUACUAGGCUUAUCCCAAUCUUCGUACACAGAUAAAAUCUUGAGAAGAUUUAAUAUGGAAGAGUCCAAAAGAGGAUUAUGCCCCAUGUCACAUGGGAUUUACCUCUCAAGAGAUAUGUGUCCUUAAACACAUGAGGAAAGGAGUCGCAUGGACAAGAUUCCUUAUGCUUCGGCGAUAGGAUCUAUCAUGUAUGCGAUGCUAUGUACAAGACCAGAUGUUUUGUAUACUCUAAGUGUUACGAGCAGGUUUCAAGCAAACCCUGGUGAGAAACACUGGAUAGUGAUUAAGAACAUUCUUAAGUACUUGAGAAGGACUAAAGAUGUGUUCUUGAUCUAUGGCGGAAAUGAACUGAAAAUUUAGGGGUAUACUGAUGCUAGUUUUCAAACUGAUAAAGAUGAUAGCAAGUCUCAGGCAGGAUAUAUGUUUACUCUCAACAAUGGAGCGGUUAGUUGGAAAAGUUCCAAACAGGAAACAACCGCUGAUUCAACAACAGAAGCCGAGUACAUAGCUGCUUCUGAAGCAGCAAAGGAAGCUGUGUAGAUCAAGAAGUUUAUUAAUGAACUUGGAGUCGUUCCUAGUAUUGUUGAUCCCGUACCUUUGUAUUGUGAUAACAAUGGAGCCAUCGUGCAAGCGAAGGAACCGAGGUCUCAUCAAUGAUCCAAACAUGUGCUAAGGCGAUGUCAUCUCAUCAGAGAGAUUAUACAAAGGAAUGACGUAACGAUAGAGCGAGUUCCCACAGAUGAUAAUAUUACAGAUCCACUGACAAAGCCGUUGUCACAACAGAAACAUGAUCGUCAUGUGGAUGCUUAUGGUAUUAGAUAUGUGAGUGAUUGGAUCUAGUGCAAGUGGGAGUUUGUAAGUGUUAUGCCCUAGAUCCAAUCGAUUUAGGUUGUAAACGCUUUUAAUAUAUUUAAUGCAUUUGAUUUUGGCGAGAUCUAUUAUUUAUUUAAAUUAAUUUUGUAAUAAAUAAUAUUAAAUAAUAGAAUCCGAAGAUCCAAUUUUUAGGUAAUCUGUUAAUCACAAGGAAUUGUGAUUGUGAGAUACAAAUUACAUAUAAUUGGAUCUUGAAUAAACCAUGAUCGUAAGUAAUAACGAGAUACGGAUAUCGUUAAUACAGUUAGACCAUCACGUGUGGCAUUUCUUACUUGUGAAGUAAGUAGCUGAUCUCACGAGCUAAAGUGUGGUGACACUUAAAUGAACAGGUGGAUGUUUUGUUAUAGAACAAAACAUUGGAGAUCCGCUAAGAGAUUCCACAUGGAUAACUAUCUGAGUGUCAGUGGCUAAUCUCUAACGUUCGGUAGUGGAAUUAAUCCUUUGACUUGAGGUCGUCAUAGUACCUUAUAUGAGGACAGCCAUACUUUAGCGAUGUUGGAUGUUGCUCUGAAAGGGGCCGCUAAUACGACAUCGUUCGGGUACGUCAAGAAUCGUAUGAAGGUUGUGAUUGAUCAAUAAAGGAUUUGUCACUCUUAGAUAGUAGGAGAUUAUGAUCUGCGUUUCAUUCAGUUAAGUCGAUGAUGAAAUCCUUGGCCAAGGUGUACUCAUAAGUCGAAAAGGAGUUUUCGAUUUAUAUUGACUUAAUAGUGGAAUGAAAGAUAUGAUCAAUAAUCAAGAUUGACACAAUUCCAUAUCUCGUAAUUGAUCG